AGUUUCAGUUUGCUUCAGCUCUCACCUCCCACUUCUGAUGUUCCUUCAAGCUCACCUCCUCCCCCGCAGUCAGACGGAGGUGGUUUAUUCUUUCAUAAUUCAUAAUGGUGGUUGCCAGGCGCUUGUGCCUGUCGGUGCCUUCACCACCAGCCCCAUCUGCAGUUUCUUUCCCUGCCCUUCACACCAUAUAGUCAGACAGAGGUGGCACAAUCCUGCAUGAUGGGCGUGGCCUGGAGCUUGUGUCUGUUUUAAGUCCGUCCCCUCCCCCCUGUACAGUCAGACGAUGGUGGUGCAGUCCUGCAUGAUGGGUGUGGCCUGGAGCUUGUGCUGUUUUAAGUGCCUCCCCUCCCCCCCUGUACAGUCAGACGCAGGUGGUGCAGUCCUGCAUGAUGGGCGUGUUCUGCUGCUCGUCCCUCUCGGAGCAGUGGUGGUGGUGGUGCUCCAGGGAGCUGGAGCUCUUGAGCGGGACGGCGCACCUGUGGGACGGCCGCCC